GUUUCUGUAGUGUAGCGGUUAUCACGUUGCCUAACAAGAAAAAGGUCCCUCGGUUCAAACCGAGCAGAAACA
rnacentral:tRNA from 1 species